GGAGGGAUGGCAGAGCGGUUGAAUGCACCGGUCUUGAAAACCGGCAUACCUUCGCGGGUAUCGAGGGUUCGAAUCCCUCUCCCUCCG
rnacentral:tRNA from 1 species